UACGAAGGUCCCAAGCGUUAUCCGGAUUUAUUGGGUUUAAAGGGUGCGUAGGCGGCUUAUUAAGUCAGUGGUGAAAGCUCCAUGCUUAACGUGGAAAUUGCCAUUGAUACUGAUGAUCUUGAGUAUGAUUGAGGUGGGCGGAAUGUGUCAUGUAGCGGUGAAAUGCUUAGAUAUGACACAGAACACCGAUUGCGAAAGGCAGCUCACUAAGUCAAUAACUGACGCUGAUGGCACGAA
rnacentral:rRNA from 1 species